ACAGAGGUGCCCGUUAUAGUUUUGGAAGAUUAAUACCAUUCGCCCUUCUGCAACUGUCGUUUUGACAGUAUUACGCAGACACGCACGCUUUUGUUUUAAAAGAAUGCACCAUUAGAAUGAGAAGGAUCUUAUGAGUUGAGCAUGGCUGUUGAAAAGACCCAUUAAUACCGUUGCUCGUAGUAAAGGACCUUACAA